GACUACACGGGUAUCUAAGCCCAUUCGCUACCCACGCUUUCGCAUCUCAGCGUCAGAACAGUACUAAUCAAAUGCCUUCGCCUUUGGUAUUCCAUAUGAUAUCAACGCAUUUCACUGCUACACCAUAUGUUCUAUUGAUCUCUUACUGUCUCUAGCCUUACCGUUUCAAAUGCAGUUCUCGAGUUAAGCUCGAGGAUUUGACAUCUGACUAAUAAGACCGCCUACAUGCUCUUUACGCCCAAUAAAUCCGGAUAACGCUUGAGGUCUCUGUAUUACCGCUACUGCUGGCACAGAGUUAGUAACCUCUUAUUCAUAAGGUACCAUCAUUACAUUUUUUCCUUAUAAAAGCGGUUUACAACCCAAGGGCCUUCUUCCCGCACGCGGCGUCGCUCGUUCACCCUUUCGGGCAUUGACGAAUAUUCUCGACUGCAGCCCCCCGUAGG
rnacentral:rRNA from 1 species